rnacentral:rRNA from 1 species
GACGAACGCUGGCGGCGUGCUUAACACAUGCAAGUCGAACGGUAAGGCCCUUCGGGGUACACGAGUGGCGAACGGGUGAGUAACACGUGGGUGAUCUGCCCUGCACUUCGGGAUAAGCCUGGGGAACUGGGUCUAAUACCGGAUAGGACCACUGCCUGCAUGGGUGGUGGUGGAAAGCUUUUGCGGUGUGGGAUGGCGCCCGCGGCCUAUCAGCUUGUUGGUGGGGUGAUGGCCUACCAAGGCGACGACGGGUAGCCGGCCUGAGAGGGCGACCGGCCACACUGGGACUGGGAUACGGCCCAGACUCCUACGGGAGGCAGCAGUGGGGAAUAUUGCACAAUGGGCGCAAGCCUGAUGCAGCGACGCCGCGUGAGGGAUGACGGCCUUCGGGUUGUAAACCUCUUUCAGCACCGACGAAGCGCAAGUGACGGUAGGUGCAGAAGAAGGACCGGCCAACUACGUGCCAGCAGCCGCCGUAA